rnacentral:rRNA from 1 species
AUUGAACGCUGGCGGCAUGCUUUACACAUGCAAGUCGAGCGGCAGCGCGGGGGGCAACCCUGGCGGCGAGCGGCGAACGGGUGAGUAAUGCAUCGGAACGUACCCUGGAGUGGGGGAUAACGCCGCGAAAGCGGCGCUAAUACCGCAUAUGCUCUGAGGAGGAAAGUGGGGGACCGCAAGGCCUCACGCUCUGGGAGCGGCCGAUGUCCGAUUAGCUAGUUGGUGGGGUAAAGGCUUACCAAGGCGACGAUCGGUAGCUGGUCUGAGAGGAUGAUCAGCCACACUGGGACUGAGACACGGCCCAGACUCCUACGGGAGGCAGCAGUGGGGAAUUUUGGGACAAUGGGGGCAACCCUGAUCCAGCCAUGCCGCGUGAGUGAAGAAGGCC